CUUCUUUUUUCCCCCUCCUCAGUCUGAAGAUUCGGAGGAAAACCCUGUUCUGGACCCAUGGUCAUCUGAAGGGGCUUUUGUGGUGAAUGGAGCUGAGGAAAGAUCUCCCUUUGGACCAGGAGGCCAAGGAAGAGGCAGAGGAAGAGGCAAGGGAAAAGGCAGGGGGAAAGGCAAAGGCAAAGGUAAAGGAAAAGGAAAAGGAAAAGACAACGACAAAGAAGAUGGAAAAGGAGAGCCGAAAGAACCAGAAGAGGAACUUGAGGAGGAUCAGGAAGAUAUAUUUGAACCGUAAGCAAUAAGGAUCACAUCAUUGCAUUCACCUGGCGUCUCUGUGAUCAAGACCUGGCAACUAGAUUAGAUACCUUGUUCAAAUGAUACAUUCAUGAAAUAAGUAAGCUUUAAUAGUUAUUGUGGGCAGUGCUGAUAUUUGAUUCCAUUUGCUUCUCUUGUAGAACAUAUCAUGAUAUAGGAAUGCUUGAUGACAAUAAAAAAUU